CCUACGGGGGGCAGCAGUGGGGAAUAUUGGACAAUGGGGGCAACCCUAAUCCAGCCAUGCCGCGUGUGUGAAGAAGGCCCUCGGGUUGUAAAGCACUUUCAGUGAGGAAGAACGCCUGGUGGUUAAUACCCAUCAGGAAAGACAUCACUCACAGAAGAAGCACCGGCUAACUCCGUGCCAGCAGCCGCGGUAAUACGGAGGGGGCGAGCGUUAAUCGGAAUUACUGGGCGUAAAGCGCGCGUAGGUGGCUUGAUAAGCCGGUUGUGAAAGCCCCGGGCUCAACCUGGGAACGGCAUCCGGAACUGUCAAGCUAGAGUGCAGGAGAGGAAGGUAGAAUUCCCGGUGUAGCGGUGAAAUGCGUAGAGAUCGGGAGGAAUACCAGUGGCGAAGGCGGCCUUCUGGACUGACACUGACACUGAGGUGCGAAAGCGUGGGUAGCAAACAGGAUUAGAUACCCUGGUAGUC
rnacentral:rRNA from 1 species